GAAUCUAUUUUAUUUUUCUCCACGUUGGUCAAGUAUCGUGCUCGCAUAAGAGGGAAUAAAGUCAAAUCUGAUUGAUUCAAUUGAUCGUAAACGAGGCGUAAUCCACGUUAAUCACCGAAAGGGUGCAACGAAACAAUAAACGUUGAACAAUCGUCAAUAAAGUAGAUUCUAGAUUCGAAACGGGUGAGGAAUAUUUCACGGUGUGACGCGCGUCUUCAGCAAGUGAACAUAUACUGUUCCCUCCAUCCAGUAUCUAGGUUAAAUGGCUGGCCGUGAAAGGAGAAUGAUUAUUAGCGGUGAAUUUUCUCAACAGUACAUCGAUCGAAGAUCAUUACCGGCGUGUAACGCGAAUCUUUUGCAAUUAUUUCGUGACAGCAAGGACAAUUUCACCUGGUUUCCUUUGCAACAAGGAAUCUCGAAAGCUCCAUCUCGUUAUUUACGUGUUAGGAAUCGCGGUUAAUCUCGUGAAAUCUUCGAUACUUGAAAUGUUAUAUACGAUGUUAAUUCGAAUUCGAGAGAGAAUCAAAGGAAACUGUCUCUAAUCCCAGAAAGAAAAGGCCACUUUCGGCGGAGAGGGGGAGGAGGAGGAGGAGGAAGCAAAAGCCGAUGGAUCGACCCAGAAUUCGUCCCAGAGAUCGCGCGCAAUUUCUCAACUCGUCGUAGCUUUCCACGAACCGUCCGAUCCAUCCUGUAAAAACUCGUGACACGUGUAGGAUAGCUUAACGACUGUCCGCAAGAAAACCGCCGCUACGCAAUUACGACGGCGCAAAAAUGGCCGAGGUAAUCCUUUUCCCGGAUCCGUAGAGACCUUUAAACUAUAUAUCGCGGAAAUCGCUUCGUUCUGAUUUGUCCACUGAGCAAAAAGAUCACGUGAUUACGCGUGUUCUUCGCGCGAUGAAGCAUGAACAAUCGAGCGAGGAACGUUGAUGACACGUUGGUGAGAAUC